ensembl:lncRNA
GAAUAUAAAACCAAUUUACACAACAUUGUUAAGUGUUUUAAGUAGAAAAGCAUGUAUGCAAUUAAGAAGUGCAAACUUCCUUGACUCGAUCAGGACUUCUUGAAUUGCAUUGAUGUUUUAGGAAAUGCUUCCCACUGAUAACAAAAUGUAUUUACGUAGGAGUUCUGAAAAUACUGAAAAUACAGAGGUCCUGAAAAUACAAAGCACAUCGAGACUUUCACUGAGUGAAUAUAAAACGGAAUUCAGUGAAAAGCAAGUUGAAAUGGCUGGCUGGUGCCUCCAUUAUUGUGUAAGAGUUUUAUGUACUUCCAACUUCAAGUACUUAUGUUGGAAACAGAUUGUGAUGGGCCUAUAUAAAAAGUUUAUUCUCCUUGGUGGAAGUAAUUUUUUUAUAACUUAAGAAGUGGAGAGACAGUAAUCACUUUCCAUUUACUAAUGUAAUAAAUUUUUAUAAGAAAUUGAUUAGAUAUUAUAUUGCAGAUUUGAUUUUUCUGUUUAAGAGAAAGUAAGGAUUUUCUUAAGACAGUGAGAAUCUUACACCUCAGAGCUGAUAAACAGAACCUGAGAGAGUUUGUAGUCUCUGUGAAAUUAUAGACAGUGGGGGUCAUGGAAGCAAUCAGUACUGGCUGGCUGUGUAAACAAUUAUUUCAGUAUGUCAGACCUGAAUGUUUAAGUAGAGUUCAAAUGAGAAUAAAUAGUUAGUUACAUCACCAUAUGAGAAAACACAGAAGAACCUGAAAGUGUAAAGUAGUUCAGGAUGGAAGGAGUGCUUUGAGGCCCUCAAGUCCAACCUCCCUUCUGUCUGUUGGUAACAGGCUCUAGAAAUUAAGGAAAUUUUGAAAGAAUUUUGCUGAAUUAAGGUAUGUUGAUUGCAGGAAAAGUCUAGUUCUUCUAGUAAAGACAUUUUUUUUAAUGUUCAGUGUAAAAACAAAACAAAACAAACAAAAACCCCCAAACCAGUGAAAGAACGCAGAGGAGCAUGUACGUGGUUGAGUGAGUGAACUAGAAACUCACUUGAUCAUUUUGAAAGGGUAGAACACAAUUAACUCAUUUAACAAUUAACUCACUGUUUGGCAGUACCAGACCCUGAGGUGCUGUAGUUUUCAAAGUAUGAAAUGGGGAGAUGGUCAGAGGCCAUUACUAGUGGUAGCAUGCCAAAAGGUCCACAGUGGGUGGUGGAGGUAUAGCCUCAUGGUGAGAAGAGUGACAUUACAAACAGUGAUUGGGAAAGUAUUAGGGAUUAUUGCAGAGUUUGCGAUAUUACUAACUGGUCAUGUUCACCUUCAGGUGAUGUCUAGACUAUGUGCGGACAACUCAGGGGCAGAGAGUAAGAUGUCAUACAAACUAAGUAGCACAUAAAAGCUUCCAAAUCAUACUUUAAAAUCUUGUCCUAGUGGAAUUUAUUGUUUAGAUUUUUAUUGAAUGAUAAUUUUCCUGCUCUGCGGUAGAACUAAUAAUUAAAAGUUUGACAUAGAGUUGAAUAAAUAUUUUACACCUGUCAACUAAUGCAAUGCAAGGAUCGAGAAACAGCUCUGAAGUUUGUCUUAGCACAUACUAUUCCAUUAAAGCACUAAAUUAUGAUAUUAUUCACGAGCUUUCAUUUUCUGCCCAUUGUAAACUACUUUUUUUCCUACAAGUCCAUAUACUUCCAGCUCGUGAUUUCUGGCAUGUGAAGGUGAGAUGUACUGACUAUAUGUCAAGUGUGACAUAUAGUUAGCCGAUGAUAGUGACUAUUGACUCACUUAAAAAUAUUUCCAGUAUAUGAUCACAUCAAGAGAAAUCUGUAGAUUUCUUUAUUGUUUUAUUUUGUCAAGAACAGAUAGAAUUUGGAUUUUUUUGAUAUCCUUUUGGAAAAUGUGAAAAUGUUGUUCAAGUUGGUGUUAUCUUUCUAAAUUUUUUUAAUAAAAAAAAUUGAGGAUUUCUUUUUAAAAAAUUACAUUUUUAAGAAAUGUAAAUUACACUGCAUGUGGGUAUAUAUAAAUAUAAAUAACUAUAUUCCUAUCUAUUCUCCACUAUUAUGUUAGCAAACAGCUCAAAUCAAUUUGCAGGUAAAUGAUGAAUGAGUAGGCAUCUUUUUGGAAAGGAGUUAGUGUAUCUUGCAUAAGAAGCUUAUAUAUUACUGCUACAAAUGUUUAAAAGUUGAGAAAAAAAUAAGAAAGCAAGAAGUCUCAAUAUCUAGAGAAGGAUCAGGACAUAAAGUAUACUAAUAUUUUACUUUUAUUCAUAGCUUCAAUUGCGUUUCUACUUUUAUUAUAAGAUUGGUGAACAAAUGAACAGUAGCCAUUAAAAAAUCAAAUUAAUUAAAAGUUAAAUAUAAUUUGUACCUUAAAUUGUGUCCAACACUGACUGUUCUACUAUAGCACAGAAAAUAAGUACUUCUCAAGCAUUUUGUCUAUGCUGGUUUUUAAAUACUACGUUUUUUGAUACCUGCAUUCUUAACCUAUUUCAGGUAUCUUUUGUGUUAUGUCCUCUAUGAUGUCAAAUCUGCUGCUAUAAGUUCUCUGAUUUCAGUUUUUACAAAAAAAAAAAAAAUUAAGUUUUUGAGUUCAAUAUAGCAUCUGGCAACUGUUGAGCAUUUGAAAACAUGAACAGAACGUUUUUGACCUUCCUAUGAAAACAGCAAAAUACCAUCUGCAGAGAGCAAAAAUAUUUAUUCUUUCAUCCCUAGCAACAGGUUUCAUCAGGACAUAUGGGUUGCUAACAGCCCUUAAAGCUGUGAAAGAGGAAGUAUUUGAAGGUUUUUUAAGUUUGGGAAUUUGAUGAACAGAUUAAUGUUUGUUUGUUACUUUCAAUGAAUACAAUCUUGGCUUGCUGUUUUAUCUGAUUACAGUAUAAAUCAGAUGGUAGGCAUGGCAAUCUUUGCUUUCUUUUAUUUUUAUAUUGUUUUCUUACUAUUAUUUAUUGGCAGAAUUACUGAUAAUCAAAGUCAAUAGAUGGUCACUCUUAGUCUGUGAUUCUUUUCAUAUAACCCACAUUAACAUAAAAUAUCCAGAGAUAGAUUAUAAUAUAAUAUACGACCUGUAAUGGGCAGUAACUAACCCACGUGAAAGAAAUCAAUAAUACAGUUGCCUUGCUUCCUUCAUGCUUUUUAAAAGUGAUUCAGUUGAAAAAGAUUCAAAUGUUUUCAAGCAUGUAUGCCCGGUAGUGGAUGGCAAGGGGCAGCGUUUCUACUCUGAUACUUUCCUUUGCUUUCCCAAUGCCCUGCUGGAGCUAGCUGUCUCGAUCCAAUUUAUUGGAGGGAGAGGAGGUUCUUUGAAAUAUGUAUACCCGACGUGAGAUUAAGAAAUAACGGUUUAAAAGUUAGUCCGAUCAGUGUAUUACAAAUCUCAAUCAAUCAGAGAGAUGGGGAAGGGGAGGCCGGCGACUAUUACGAAUCAGGUUGAUGGGGAGGGGAAAGCGGGCGAUAGGAAAGAUAGGAAAGAAGCAAGAAUUGCGUAAAGCGGGGAUAAUCACGACCAGGAUCCAGCAGCGUCCCGUUGCACGACGUUCCGACGGUCCGAGGCAAAAGCGCAGGGGAGAGCAGCAGCAGCGUGGCCGGUCUUAAGCAGCAAGCAGGUACCAGGAAGGAGCGGCAGGCAACAUGGUGCAUCCACUUUGCUGUCCCUGGCAUGUGUUACACAGAGUCACAGAAUCAUAGAAUGCUGUUGUUUGUUAUCUUUGUUAUCCCCAGCGCAGUUUUGGCUCAUCUUCUGCGGCUGUAAUCUGUAAUUUUGACUAAUGACUGACCACUAGUAAGUAGCACGGUUCAGUUUAUAACCUUUGGGUCUUGGUUAGCAAUCUAUGAUCAUACAUAGAGGGCUCCCGCUAUUAUCCCACAUCUGUAUUCACCUACAUUGUGCUUUAUGCUGCAGUCAAAUGUAGUUCAUUCUGCGCAUGAUGAAUAGUUGCAAUCACUUGUCAUGUCCUACAAAACUUGUGUAUAAAAGGAGAUGUUACAGCGUAUACUGGUACUAAGCUAAAGACAAGCUAAAACAAAUUUGGCAGUAAUCACUAGUGCGUUGGCUGCUAUUACAAGCUAAAUCAGUUUCAGACAGUUGAAGACAAGCCUAGACAACAUCUGAUACAUCCUGAGGCCCACAGAGCUCAAUAACGGGCUGGUACCAG